UACGAAGGGGGCUAGCGUUGCUCGGAAUGACUGGGCGUAAAGGGCGCGUAGGCGGUUUGUACAGUCAGGUGUGAAAUUCCCGGGCUCAACCUGGGGGCUGCACUUGAUACGUAGGAACUUGAGUGGGGAAGAGGGUCGUGGAAUUCCCAGUGUAGAGGUGAAAUUCGUAGAUAUUGGGAAGAACACCGGUGGCGAAGGCGGCGACCUGGUCCUUGACUGACGCUGAGGCGCGAAAGCGUGGGGAGCAAACAGGG
rnacentral:rRNA from 1 species